GCCUCGUCAGCAGUCAGUGGUCAGGGUUUUAGUCUGUUCCACAUUAAUACAUUCCUUAUUUGAUGAUAAAAAAAAAAUAGCCUGGAUAAACUACAAGUUUUAUCUUGCAAGGCACAGAGGCCUCAGUCUUGCUUGAAGUAACUAUGUUCAGCUUUAAUAAGCAGCUUUGGAUUGCUCGCUACCAUGUACAAAUUAUUUUUAACCUGUGUGUUUAAUAUAUUCUUUAUGGCCAUGUAGUUGUUUCUUUAUAUCUGCAGUUCUACUCGGAGUAAUUACCAAGCAAAUGAAAUAAGGACAUCAUGCAUAUCCAGUAUGGAUGCAUUCACCAGAGACAAAGCUCCACGUCAGACAAUUUUUUCAACAAUCUAAGGUUGCCAUGACGGGUAUCCCCUUUUGGUAAUGGCCAGAAGGAGGGUUGAUGUGGAGCUCUACCCACCAACACCUCCCAGCAAACACUUCACUUCGGCAAGUGUGGCAAGAUAGAGCUAAAACUGGGCAGCACCGAGUGAACUUGGCUAUAUGGCAGUCUCUUUAUUCAAAAGUAUCUACUGUCAAACAAGGAAGGAAUCAGUGAUUUGUCCAGAAGGGAUCAGCAGGCAUAGCUCAAAAGAGACAUCACCCAGAGGUUGUGUGGAGUAAUGGCUGCAACUGUAGUUUCCAGUUACUCUUCAGUUCUUCUAAGAUGAAUAUGAUAGUGCAAUAGUCAAGAAUAUUGAUGACCCUGCAGAAGUUAACAAACAAAUACAACUAGACAUCCAAGGAAAUGUAAUGUCUGUCAGUUAUGCUGUGGGGCACUUGACACAUGACACUAUAAUUUAAUUUUGACACCCAAGGAGGGGCAGCUCUUGACUGGUGCUGAUAGUCUUAUACACUGCUCACUUCAGAUGACCCUAUAGAAAAUAACUGGGAGAUGCAAGGUCUACCAGUCUUAGAGGCCAAAGAUUAUGAGUGUGUCAUCCAGAAACUUCAGCAGGAAGGCCAUAGUUUAGGAAAACACCAUUUUACUUCAGGUUAAAAGUAAGCUUCAGUGUCAUGUCAUUCUUCAAAUAAAACUGGCCUUUUUGUAAGAUGAGGUGGUUAACAGGGAAAAUGCACUUAGAACCACAAAAUAUGUUUUACAGUAUAUGAUAUGUGAUUAUUAUAGCCUUUCAUUUUUAUUACCAAGGUUCUAAAAUAAUAUUUCCAAUCUGAUGUUUGCUACACAUUUAGCAAAAGCCUAGUUGUUCUAUGCCAGGUUAAUCCUUAAUGCAUAAAAUUGUUAAGCAGAUUAGUAUUUUCCAAUAUAAUUAUGAAUUUCACCAGAUAUGUUAUUGCUUUUGAACAGGAAUAUUACUCAUUAGGUGCAACUAAUUUUCCUGUUCCUUCCUAAGAUUGCAAAUUAGAUGCAAUUCUAUGCCAGCUGCUGUUUGCUCUGCCACCUGGACUACCUGACCAUAUAGAAUUGCCUUGUCCUUUAUGUCAGCUAUCCAUUUACAUCCUGCCAUGUGACACACCUGUCAGGUGUCUGGAAAUGCAAUAGAAAAUGCACUUAAUCAAAAAAGUAAGUUUUACAGUAUAUAACUAUAAUUGUAGUACCUUUUUCUUUUUGGUGUGCUAAACUUGCUGUUAAAUAUUUCAAGUCUUAUGUCUAUUGCAAAAGUAAUUAAUGUGAAAACAAGUAGAAUAGGAAUGGCCUAAGUAUUUCAUUCCAGAAUUCUUUCAUUAUCUGAAUGCAAGAAUUUGUUGAGGUAAUUUGUGCAGGUAAUACCUGCAGUUUCUGCUGGUAUUACCUGCAAAACAUAACUGAUAUUUCUGUUUCUACCUGUGAUUGACAGUUGAAUAAAUAGCAUUUAUAAUGUG